UCUCCGUUGGUGAACCAGCGGAGGGAUCAUUACCGAGUUUACAACUCCCAAACCCCUGUGAACAUACCAUUUGUUGCCUCGGCGGUGCCUGCUUCGGCAGCCCGCCAGAGGACCCAAACCCUUGAUUUUAUACAGUAUCUUCUGAGUAAAUGAUUAAAUAAAUCAAACUUUCAACAACGGAUCUCUUGGUUCUG
rnacentral:misc_RNA from 1 species